rnacentral:rRNA from 1 species
AAUUAUAUGCUUGUCUUAAAGAUUAAGCCAUGCAAGUCUAAGUACGGCCCUACUCUCUGAGGGGGCGAGACUGCGGACGGCUCAUUAAAUCAGUUAUGAUUCCCAGGAGCCAGAACCACUUACUUGGAUAACUGUGGCAAUUCUAGAGCUAAUACAUGCACUUUAAGCUCCGCCUGCCCCGCUCGCGGGGCGGGAGGUUGCGCACCUGUUAGCCUCGAACAACGGCUGGGGCCACUUGACUGUGGCCCCGUCGAAGGGAGAUGAACUCUAGACAGCUUUGCCGAUCGCACGGCCUUUCGAGCCGGCGACGUACCUUUCAAGUGUCUGACCUAUCAUACUAGAUGGUUUGCGCUCUGCGCACCAUGGUUGUAACGGGUGACGGGGAAUCAGGGUUCGAUUCCGGAGAGGGAGCAUGAGAAACGGCUGCCACAUCCAAGGAAGGCAGCAGGCACGCAACUUACCCAAUGCCGACACGGCGAGGUAGUGACGAAAAAUACCAAUACGGGAGCCGCUACAAGCGGUCCCGCAAUUGAAAUGAGUACACUCUAAAUCCUUUAACGAGGAUCUAUUGGAGGGCAAGUCUGGUGCCAGCAGCCGCGGUAAUUCCAGCUCCAAUAGCGUAUGUCAAUGCUGCUGCGGUUAAAACGCUCGAAGUUGGAUCUCGGUGACGGGCCGGCCGUCUCGCUCUCGGAGCGGUGCACGGCCGGCGAUAGAUAGGGAGUGAAUGCAUUCCCUAUACUGACUCCGUCCCUCUGUCCGGAGAACUCGGCCCGGGUGCUCUUGACUGAGCCGCUCGGUGCCUGGCCGGACGCUUCACUGUGAAAAAAUUAGAGUGCUCAAAGCAGGCCUCUGUGCCGGCAUAUCGCUGCAUGGAAUGAUAGAGAAGGACCUCGGCGCAUGCCCCUCUUUCACGGGGUGGCGUGGCGCUCGAGGUAAUGAUUAAGAGGGACUGCCGGGGGCAUACGUACUGCGGCGCGAGAGGUGAAAUUCUGUGACCGUCGCAGGACGAACUAAAGCGAAGGCAUUUGCCAAGAAUGUCUUCAUUAAUCUAGAACGAAAGUCAGAGGCUCGAAGACGAUCAGAUACCGUCGUAGUUCUGACUGUAAACUCUGCCUACUGGCAAUCCGCCGACGAUAUCUUAACGACUCGGCGAGCGGCCUACGGGAAACCAAAGUUUUUGGGUUCCGGGGGGAGUACGGUCGCAAGGCUGAAACUUAAAGGAAUUGACGGAAGGGCACCACCAGGAGUGGAGCCUGUGGCUUAAUUUGACUCAACACGGGAAAACUCACCCGGUCCGGACACUGGUAGGAUUGACAGACUAAAGCUCUUUCUUAAUUCAGUGGGUGGUGGUGCAUGGCCGUUCUUAGUUGGUGGAGUGAUUUGUCUGGUUAAUUCCGAUAACGAACGAGACUCUUGCCUACUAAAUAGUUCGGGGACCCAGGGCUGGACUCGUCUAGCCCGCUAAGGGUCGCCCGCAAACACUCGUCUCUUUCGGGAGCGAGCCAACUUCUUAGAGGCACAAGUGGCGCUUAGCCACACGAAACGGAGAGCAAUAACAGGUCUGUGAUGCCCUUAGAUGUCCGGGGCCGCACAUGCGCUACAAUGGCUGCAUCAGCGCGAGUCUUUCCUGAAAGGGCAAGGGAACCGCUCAACCGUAGUCUCGGUUGGGAUUGGGGGCUGCAAGUGUCCCCCAUGAACACGGAAUUCCUAGUAGGCGCCAGUCAUCAGCUGGCGUCGAUUGAGUCCCUGCCCUUUGUACACACCGCCCGUCGCUACUACCGAUCGCUCUCGUUAAUGAGCCCGUCGGAUUGGACCCGGUGGGGCGCUUCGGCGCCUCGCGUCAUGGUGCUGCCGAGAAGAUGGGCGAAUUAUCGGGGGUAGAGGAAGUAAAAGUCGUAACAAGGUAU